rnacentral:rRNA from 1 species
UUGACCUCGGAUCAGGUAGGGAUACCCGCUGAACUUAAGCAUAUCAAUGAGCGGAGGAAAAGAAACCAACCGGGAUUGCCCUAGUAACGGCGAGUGAAGCGGCAAGAGCUCAAAUUUGAAAGCUGGCCCCCUCGGGGUCCGCAUUGUAAUUUGCAGAGGAUGCUUCGGGAACGGCCCCCAUCUAAGUGCCCUGGAACGGGCCGUCAUAGAGGGUGAGAAUCCCGUCUGGGAUGGGGUGGCCGCGCCCGUGUGAAGCUCCUUCGACGAGUCGAGUUGUUUGGGAAUGCAGCUCUAAUUGGGUGGUAAAUUUCAUCUAAAGCUAAAUAUUGGCCGGAGACCGAUAGCGCACAAGUAGAGUGAUCGAAAGAUGAAAAGCACUUUGAAAAGAGAGUUAAAAAGCACGUGAAAUUGUUGAAAGGGAAGCGCUUGCGACCAGACUCGCUCGCGGGGUUCAGCCGGCAUUCGUGCCGGUGUACUUCCCCGCGGGCGGGCCAGCGUCGGUUUGGGCGGUCGGUCAAAGGCCCUCGGAAGGUAACGCCCCUAGGGGCGUCUUAUAGCCGAGGGUGCAAUGCGACCUGCCUAGACCGAGGAACGCGCUUCGGCUCGGACGCUGGCAUAAUGGUCGUAAACGACC